CGUGCUUUCAAUCUAUUGCUCUAAUAAGAAGCAAUUUAUUUGACUAGAUAGAUAAAUGGAUGCAAUAACUGAAUUUUAUUAGUGUGGAAUUUGAGAUUGAUGUUCCUUUAUAUCUUUGUAAUUGAUAGGAGCCCACAAAAUCAUGGGAGGAUAGCGAUAAAAAAAAUACUAAAGAUAUUUCCUGAUGCAUAUUCGAAGCUAUACUUUGAGGUGGCUACCUAUAUCUUCUCGACACAUAAAUACAUCAUGGAUGAUGUUCUCAAAGCCUUGAACUAUAAUACAAUAUCACAAUACAACAUUCUUGGAUCAUUGCUGCCUAUGAACAAUGUGAAGUGCUUUUCAAAAUGCCAGCAGAACAUGUUAGCAAUUUAUCGACUAAUGCCUUUAGGAACAUCUUUUGUGAACUAAUGACAACUCCAAAUCACAACAAUCGCUUCAAUUUCAAAAAAUAGGGUGUUGCAGUGGGGAGCUUACUAUCUAUAAGAAUAGAUUAUAGCUCCAUUUUAAAAACACUUCAAAGGCAUGCGAGAAACCUACAAGUUAACAAGUUUUAAAUCAAAGUUGUUACCUUAGCUAUUGGAAUUGCACUUCAAAUAAACUUAAUUAUGUAUUCUCUUUUCAAAUGAAA